rnacentral:ribozyme from 1 species
UGAGGGGGCAUCCCCCUCAACCCUAAUGCAGCUUCGGAUAUGCGUCCGGAACGGUGACAAGUCCGUAUAAAUGCAGAGUCAGGG